UAUAUUAACAUGGUCCUACACUGGAGACAACCAGGUCCACUAACUACAGUAUAUUAACACGGUCCUACCCUGGAGACAACCAGGUCCACUAACUACAGUAUAUUAACACGGUCCUACACUGGAGACAACCAGGUCCACUAACUACAGUAUAUUAACAUGGUCCUACCCUGGAGACAACCAGGUCCACUAACUACAGUAUAUUAACACGGUCCUACACUGGAGACAACCAGGUCCACUAACUACAGUAUAUUAACACAGUCCUACACUGGAGACAACCAGGUUUACUAACUACAGUAUAUUAACAUUGUCCUACCCUGGAGACAACCAGGUCCACUAACACAGUCCUACCCUGGAGACAACCAGGUUUACUAACACUUCCUACCCUGGAGACAACCAGUCCACUAACUACAGUAUAUUAACACAGUCCUACCCUGGAGACAACCAGUCCACUAACUACAGUAUAUUAACACGGUCCUACCCUGGAGACAACCAGUCCACUAACUACAGUAUAUUAACAUGGUCCUACCCUGGAGACAACCAGUCCACUAACUACAGUAUAUUAACAUGGUCCUACCCUGGAGACAACCAGUCCACUAACUACAGUAUAUUAACAUGGUCCUACCCUGGAGACAACCAGUCCACUAACUACAGUAUAUUAACAUGGUCCUACCCUGGAGACAACCAGUCCACUAACUACAGUAUAUUAACAUGGUCCUACGCUGGAGACAACCAGUCCACUAACUACAGUAUAUUAACAUGGUCCUACGCUGGAGACAACCAGUCCACUAACUACAGUAUAUUAACAUGGUCCUACCCUGGAGACAACCAGUCCACUAACUACAGUAUAUUAACAUGGUCCUACCCUGGAGACAACCAGUCCACUAACUACAGUAUAUUAACAUGGUCCUACCCUGGAGACAACCAGUCCACUAACUACAG